rnacentral:rRNA from 1 species
GACGAACGCUGGCGGCGUGCUUAACACAUGCAAGUCGAACGAGGUCCAUGGAAGCUUGCUUCCGGAAGAUCUAGUGGCGAACGGGUGCGUAACACGUGAGAAACCUGCCCCAGACUUGGGAAUAACAGUCGGAAACGACUGCUAAUACCGAAUACCUCCGGAGCGUCGCAUGGCGCACCGAAGAAAGCUUUUGCGGUUUGGGAGGGUCUCGCGGCCUAUCAGCUAGUUGGUGAGGUAACGGCUCACCAAGGCAUCGACGGGUAGCUGGUCUGAGAGGAUGAUCAGCCACACUGGGACUGAGACACGGCCCAGACUCCUACGGGAGGCAGCAGUGGGGAAUAUUGCACAAUGGGCGAAAGCCUGAUGCAGCAACGCCGCGUGCGGGAAGAAGGCCCUAGGGUUGUAAACCGCUUUCAGCAGGGAAGAAAAUGACGGUACCUGCAGAAGAAGGUGCGGCCAACUACGUG